rnacentral:rRNA from 1 species
AGAGUUUGAUCAUGGCUCAGGACGAACGCUGGCGGCGUGCUUAACACAUGCAAGUGGAGCGACGAACCGGGGCUUGCCCCGGGGCAGAGCCGCGAACGGGUGAGUAACACGUGGGUAACCUACCCUGAUGACCGGGACAACCCGAGGAAACUCGGGCUAAUACCGGAUGUGCUCCUUGACCUCGAGGUCAAGGCGUAAAGAUAGCUUCGGCCUUCGCAUCAGGACGGGCCCGCGGCCCAUUAGCUUGUUGGUGGGGUAACGGCCCACCAAGGCGACGAUGGGUAGCUGGUCUGAGAGGACGAUCAGCCACACUGGGACUGAGACACGGCCCAGACUCCUACGGGAGGCAGCAGUGGGGAAUCUUGCGCAAUGCGCGAAAGCGUGACGCAGCAACGCCGCGUGGGGGAAGACGGCCUUCGGGUUGUAAACCCCUUUCAGUUGGGACGAAGCUUCGCCGGUGAAUAGCCGGCUGGAGUGACGGUACCUUCACAAGAAGCCCCGGCUAACUACGUGCCAGCAGCCGCGGUAAUACGUAGGGGGCUAGCGUUGUCCGGAAUCAUUGGGCGUAAAGCGCGUGUAGGCGGUUCGGUAAGUCCGCUGUGAAAGUCGGGGGCUCAACCCUCGAAAGCCGGUGGAUACUGUCGGGCUAGAGUACGGAAGAGGCGAGUGGAAUUCCUGGUGUAGCGGUGAAAUGCGCAGAUAUCAGGAGGAACACCAAUUGCGAAGGCAGCUCGCUGGGACGUUACUGACGCUGAGACGCGAAAGCGUGGGGAGCAAACAGGAUUAGAUACCCUAGUAGUCC